GGGCAGGAGCCGGGGCGGCGGCGGCGGCGGCCGAGAGGACCGCGGCGAGGGAAGCGCAUCCAGCGGCCCCGGCGGCGGCGGCGGCGGCGGCGGCGGGGGCCUGGGUCCCUGCGCACGGGCGGCCGGCGGGCGCGGGCGGCGCUAUGGAACCACAGCACGUGCGCCCCGCGCCCGGCGCCCGCAGCCCGGCCUGGGAGGAACCGGAGUCGGAGAGGAUGGCCGGGGCCGGCGGCCAGCACCACCCUCCGGGCGCCGCGGGAGGAGAGACCGCCACGGCCGGCGCCGCGGUCACCCCCGCCGCUGCCUCGGCGGGGCCCGGAGACGAUUCGUCUGACAGCGAAGCGGAGCAAGAGGGACCCCAGAAACUGAUCCGCAAAGUGUCCACCUCGGGGCAGAUCCGGACCAAGACCAGUAUUAAAGAGGGACAACUAUUGAAGCAAACCAGUUCCUUCCAAAGAUGGAAAAAGCGUUACUUCAAACUUCGAGGCCGUACACUUUAUUAUGCAAAGGACUCAAAGUCUCUGAUAUUCGACGAAGUUGACCUCUCAGAUGCCAGUGUAGCCGAAGCAAGCACAAAAAAUGCAAACAACAGUUUCACGAUAAUCACUCCAUUCAGAAGACUAAUGCUGUGCGCUGAGAACAGGAAGGAGAUGGAGGAUUGGAUGAGCUCACUGAAGUCUGUACAGACCAGAGAACCUUACGAGGUGGCCCAGUUUAACGUGGAACAUUUCUCAGGGAUGCAUAACUGGUACGCCUGCUCCCAUGCACGACCCACUUUCUGUAACGUGUGCAGAGAGAGUCUUUCUGGAGUCACCUCCCAUGGCCUGUCCUGUGAAGUGUGUAAAUUCAAGGCUCACAAAAGAUGUGCAGUGAGGGCAACAAAUAAUUGCAAAUGGACGACUCUGGCCUCCAUCGGGAAGGACAUCAUAGAGGAUGAAGAUGGAGUAGCUAUGCCCCACCAAUGGCUCGAGGGUAACCUGCCUGUCAGUGCCAAAUGCGCCGUGUGUGACAGAACAUGUGGGAGUGUCCUGCGCCUACAAGAUUGGAAAUGCCUUUGGUGUAAAACAAUGGUACACACUGCCUGCAAAGAUUUAUACCAUCCUGUGUGUCCCCUUGGCCAAUGUAAAGUGUCCAUCAUACCUCCAAUUGCACUGAAUAGCACUGAUUCUGAUGGUUUCUGUAGAGCGACCUUUUCAUUCUGUGUUAGUCCUCUGUUGGUUUUUGUCAAUUCGAAGAGUGGAGAUAAUCAGGGAGUAAAGUUCCUUCGUCGAUUUAAACAGUUGCUAAAUCCGGCUCAGGUGUUUGAUUUAAUGAACGGAGGUCCUCAUUUAGGUUUAAGAUUAUUCCAAAAGUUCGACAACUUCCGAAUUCUUGUUUGUGGAGGAGAUGGAAGUGUGGGUUGGGUUUUGUCAGAAAUUGAUAAGCUCAACUUGAAUAAACAGUGUCAGCUGGGCGUAUUGCCUUUGGGUACAGGAAAUGACCUUGCCCGGGUUCUAGGCUGGGGUGGUUCCUAUGAUGAUGACACCCAACUUCCUCAGAUACUAGAGAAGCUGGAACGAGCCAGUACCAAAAUGCUAGACAGGUGGAGCAUAAUGACCUAUGAACUCAAAUUGCCACCAAAGGCUUCUCUACUUCCAGAACCUCCAGAAACAUCGGAAGAAUUUUAUAUGACAAUUUAUGAGGACUCCGUCGCAGCUCAUCUUACAAAAAUCCUCAAUUCUGAUGAACAUGCAGUGGUCAUAUCAUCUGCCAAGAUACUCUGUGAAACUGUAAAGGACUUUGUUGCCAAAGUAGAGAAGGCCUAUGAAAAAACGUUGGAAAACGCCGUUGCAGCCGACGCCGUGGCCAGUAAAUGUUCAGUCCUAAAUGAAAAGCUUGAACAACUGCUUCAAGCUCUGCACACGGAUUCCCAGGCUGCCCCCGUUCUCCCAGGCAUCCACUCUCUCAUUGUAGAAGAAGAUACCGUGGAAUCUUCCAGUGAAGAAUCCUUGUGUGAAAGCAAAGAACAGCUCGUGGAUAACCCUGCAAAACCUCCCUCCCAGAAAGCUGUCAAACCAAAGGAAAUAAUGUUGCGGGCCAACAGUUUAAAGAAAGCAGUGAGACAAGUCAUUGAAGAAGCCGGCAAAGUUAUGGAUGACCAGAGUGUUCAUCCCUGUGAACCAGUUAACCAGUCAUUCGAUAAUGAUAGUACAGAAACAGAUGAAUCUAAAGAAGAAUCUAAAGACGAUGAUGCAAAAGAGUCAUUAACUGUUAAAACUGCACCUGCACCUCGGUCUCCAGAUGGCCGGGCAAGUCGUUCCCAAACUGACUCUGGCUCUGGUCCAGCUGUGGCAGCCAGCAAAGAAAACCUCCCUGUGCUCAACACCAGAAUAAUCUGCCCAGGUUUAAGAGCAGGAUUAGCUGCCUCGAUUGCUGGGAGUUCUAUAAUCAACAAAAUGUUACUAGCAAAUAUUGAUCCUUUUGGUGCAACGCCAUUUAUUGACCCAGAUCCAGAUUCAGUAGAUGGAUAUUCAGAAAAAUGUGUCAUGAACAAUUACUUUGGGAUUGGAUUAGAUGCAAAAAUUUCAUUAGAAUUUAAUAACAAGAGAGAGGAGCACCCUGAAAAAUGCAGGAGCCGAACUAAAAACUUGAUGUGGUAUGGAGUCCUUGGAACCCGGGAGUUAUUACAGAGAUCGUAUAAGAAUUUAGAACAGAGGGUUCAACUUGAGUGUGAUGGGCAGUAUAUUCCUCUCCCCAGUCUGCAAGGAAUAGCAGUGUUGAACAUUCCCAGCUAUGCGGGAGGCACUAACUUUUGGGGCGGAACUAAAGAGGAUGAUAUAUUUGCUGCACCAUCAUUUGAUGACAAGAUCCUGGAAGUUGUUGCAAUAUUUGAUAGCAUGCAAAUGGCAGUUUCAAGGGUCAUUAAACUGCAGCAUCAUCGAAUAGCCCAGUGCCGUACGGUAAAAAUCACUAUAUUUGGCGAUGAGGGAGUCCCAGUGCAGGUGGAUGGUGAAGCAUGGGUUCAGCCUCCAGGAAUUAUCAAAAUUGUGCACAAAAACAGAGCUCAGAUGCUAACAAGGGACAGGGCUUUUGAAAGCACUCUGAAAUCUUGGGAAGAUAAACAGAAGUGUGAUUCUGGUAAACCAGUUCUUCGAACCCAUUUGUACAUCCAGCAUGCCGUUGACUUGGCAACAGAAGAGGUGUCCCAAAUGCAGUUAUGCUCCCAGGCUGCAGAGGAGCUCAUUACUAGGAUCUGUGAUGCAGCCACGAUCCAUUGUCUCUUGGAGCAAGAACUGGCCCAUGCUGUGAAUGCAUGCUCCCACGCACUGAAUAAAGCCAACCCACGCUUCCCAGAGAGUCUUACGAGAGACACUGCCACUGAAAUAGCCAUCAAUGUGAAGGCACUAUAUAAUGAAACAGAAUCUUUACUAGUGGGCAGGGUUCCUUUGCAGUUAGAAUCCCCGCAUGAGGAACGCGUAUCUAAUGCCUUACAUUCUGUGGAGGUGGAGCUGCAGAAGUUAACGGAGAUCCCUUGGCUUUAUUAUAUCUUACACCCAAACGAAGAUGCGGAGCCCCCCAUGGAUUGCACCAAGAGAAACAGCAGAAGCACAGUCUUUCGUAUCGUGCCAAAAUUUAAAAAGGAAAAGGUUCAGAAGCAGAAGACAAGUUCACAGCCUGUUCAAAAAUGGGGCACAGAGGAAGUUGCUGCUUGGCUGGAUCUGCUCAAUUUGGGAGAGUACAAAGAAAUCUUCAUCCGUCAUGACAUCAGAGGGGCUGAACUUUUGCAUCUGGAAAGGCGAGAUCUUAAGGACCUGGGGAUAACGAAAGUGGGUCAUAUGAAGCGAAUUCUCCAGGGAAUUAAAGAGCUUGGAAGGAGCACUCCCCAGUCUGAGGUGUAAUCAUGCUGGUGCUAUUCCUUGGAAGGGAAGUAAUUGCUACUUAAUCAAAGCUCUUAGAAGCAAUUGUCUGUUUCUGUCCUUUUCUGCCUAGAAAAGCAAGCACCAGGGAAGCACCUCUAUGGCUUGAUAUUUUGCUGUGGGUGAAAAUUUUCAUUUGAGGUAUUAGAAAAUAUUUUUGUGCCAAAUAAUACAUUCCACAAAGCCAUUUUCUUAUUGUGCAAACUUGACGUGUUCAAAUAUGCUCAUAUUAGUAAGAAGGUAGGAAGAAUCCGAGACAAUUGCAUUGUCUGAAAGGUGGAAACGUUUACUUACGUUUGACUUUCCUUAAACCUGGUCAGAUGGAAUGUUCUUACUACGUGACUGCAUAACAAUAUGUGGCUAAAACUUCUUAGGUUUCGUUAUUGGAGGCAUUGGCUUCUUCCUUAAAAUCAUUGGUUAGGAGACUAAGAUAUAAAUUAGGUUGUGUUUUGAAUGUUAGAUUGGGUGUCACCUCAGAUUCCUAGCAUUCAGUGGUCAUAGAAAAUGGUUGAAACCCCUCAAAUAUUAUGAAUGAAUGCAAAUCUUAAUGCACGACAUUCCUGCCUGAAUGGUCUUUCUUUUUCUUGCAUGUCACAUGUAAUCUCGUAAAACUUAGCUUUCAUGUCAGUUUUAAUGGAAUUUAAUUUAUUACUACCGAAGUACCCUUUUGUUGGUUCAAGGCACUUGUCUGUUCUUUGAUGUGGGAUUUUGGAUAGAUGCUGUAUCUAAGAAUUUGUGACCAGGUGUCUGUGCCAUAAUCAACAAAUGAUACACAUUUUAUGCAAGUCAAUUUGAUGUCACUCUAUAUCAUCAACAGUAGACAUGCACAUGAAGAAAAUCUCUGGAUAUUUUUAUAAAAUUACAUGUUCUGUUGCCGAACAAAACUUAUUAUAGCUUCCCAAACCAAAAUUCCCACAUUUUGUGGGGUUUUUUUGCUUUAAUUUAGUAUUUAUUUAAUACUCUGUUAGCAUUUAUAAUAUAGUGGGCUGUUGACAUCCAGGAGUUUCCCCAAGGUCUCAACUGGGAUUUGUAUACUGAUUGGUCACCCAGACUUACCCACUAGCUGGAGUGACUACUGACACAACUUCUCAACAAGAAAUUUAAAUUUUUAAAUUUUUUCUUAAGGGCUUUAUAUUAUUAUUAUUAUUAUUAUCUCACUUAAUUCUUAUAUCAGGUAGAUAUUAUUUUCCUUUUUCUAAACCACUAUACUUCAGUGUAAGCUUAUGAGGAGUCAACAUUACAAUUACCAAAUCUUUGAAAGCCAAAGGCACGUGUCAAAAAGUCACAAAAAUAUCCUUAAACAAUAUUUCUUUAGACAUAUGUACCAAAAAUUAAUUAUAAUAUUUAAAAAUCUAUUAUAUAAGAGAAGAAAACAGGGUAUUGACCCAGUGGUGACAAUUUUCAUGAAGUAGCCUUCUAAGUAGGUGCUCAAUAGAUACACAUACACACAUAUGCAUAUACAUGUACAUUCACACUUACAUAUGCAUAAUCUUGAAAUAUACUCAUUGAUAUUUUCUAGACAAUUAUUUGCCAAAUGCUUAAUGAGAAAUAUUAGUGGGAAAGCAUUUAAAAUGGACAUUGUCAGACAUAUAAUUUAAUUAUAGCAAAGGAGUUUAAAUAUUUGACACUUUAUUCUUAUUCAUAAAUUGGGUAUUUAACUACUAAGAAAAAAAAUCACAAAAUUUGGAUAUCUUAAAAAUAAAAGCCUGAUCAGUUCCUGACCAAAUAUGUCUGACUAUAUAUUUUACCUGUUUAAGUUGUGAAUAAAUAGAAAUUUUCCAAAGGGAAUUAUAUCAAGUAGCGUGAAAGAGUCAAAAGCUACUCACUUUAUAUUGGAAUGUUAUCUACACUUUAUGAAAUCAAAGGGCUUCUUUUCCAGUCCCUUUAUAGCCCCCAUCUGCCCAUCCCCUGCAAGGGGUCCUGCUUUUCCAGGCAUUUCCCUGUAGAAUUAAAAGACAGAUGCCAGCCUCUCUUUGGAACUCAGCUAUGAGAUCACAGAUCCCUGACCAGCUCGGCCAAAAAAAGAAAGGUAGGGGCAAAGAGGCAAGGAACUCUAGAGAAGAAGUAGCUAAUAUAAAAAUCUUUAUUGAUUUCCAUUCGCCCAAAAUACCCCUUUGCCACUAGAAAAGAUCUAAGCUAUUACAUGUUCAGAAUUUGAGUAAGAUGUAAAUGAUUAAAUUUUUUGUUUGAUGUUGGUCUUUUUACUCCUAGGUAAUAACUUUUAUCUGUGUUGUAACACCUCCAUUAAUGGACUCUUUGGUUAACUAGCAUUUUCUUGCAGAUGGCUUUUGGAUGAGGGAAAUCCUUUAAAAUGACAAUUUUGCUCUCUUUUUUGUUGUUAAAUAAGAGCGAUUUUUCCUGUAUGCUUUGUCUGUGCGUGGCCGGUGUGGACCCAGGUGACCUUACUCACGUCUGUUUGCCAAGAUGGCGUCCUCAGAGCCUCCUCAGGCUCCUGUCAGCGUCACAGAGGAGCAGCUUCUUAGAGUUGAUGGGGCCACGAAUAAAAAGUAGGAAGAGCUGCUCUCUGGAAUCUGAUCGCAGCUCAGGGGAGUGCAGAUGGGGCCUUUGUACCUUGAUCCAUUCCUAAACUGAGAUUAUCUUGUUGACAUAGUUCAUGCCUGAGGAUACAAACAGCACACGCACAUGAAAUGAAUCGCUAGGCAUGGGAAAAAAAAGACAGAAGCAAAAUGACUCCAAGUAAACUGAAUGUGUCAUUAAAACCCCCAAAGAAGGCAUGUUUUGCUGGACUUCGUUUUUCUUAUUAUGCCAACUUAUCUUGAUUUUUCAGAGACUUAAUAAUUGCUUAAAGUAGUGCCUGCAAAGUAUCAUAGUUUUGAUCCUUAAAAUACAAAUUAUUUAAUUCUAUAAUAUGAUCUUUCCCAAUGAUUUAUUGUCAAUACUUAAUCAUUUUUACAUACUGAUAUCAUUUACCAGACAUUACUGCCUAGAGAUUCUUUAGCUAAUUUUAAGGAAUAAAGAGGGCACUAUUUUAGUCCUAAGAGAAGUUAUUUUUAACAGGAUUUGAGAAAGAAAAUAUUCAUGCAAAGCUAUGACUUAGAAAAUUACAGUGGAAACCUCUAUACACAUCAUUUCUGAAGUAAAUUAUCUAUUUAGUCCAACACAAUGGACUUUCAUGUUAUACAGAUGCGAAUUCUUCAAGGAUAUAGUUUUUCACUAAGCUCCAUAAACAUUACAUCUCUCAGCCUGACGUUUAGGAUCUCCCCUGCCCUCUCCCCACAGAAUGAACUCAUCCUGCAUUUUUCAGAUGCAAGUUGGGUAAAACAAUGGGUUCAGAGUUUGAUAAUAAUACAAGUGGCAGUUUUAAAACACCAAGUUUUUAAAAUCAGUUGGAAAGAGUGAACAGUGAAGAUUCUUCAAAUACUAACUAUUGGUCAAUGGAAUAACCUUCCUGGCGGUUCUCAUGGUGCUUGGCAGCCAUGCGUCUCCCUCUUUGGCUUGCCCUUGCCGAGAGCCAUGGGGCCUGGGACUUGUUUGUCUCUGCUAGGCAUCUCCCCUUGACUUUUGUGCAGUGAUCUCUGUGUCAGAUGGUAAUAUGAUGCCUUUGCAGUAGGAUGCCUUCCUAAAGAAACAACCAAAACUUUAAAAAGGCAAUGAUUAUUAGUUUUUUAAUACCCAAGGCAUUCUUUACCUUUAUUAUUGCUUCUUCUUACUAAUGUCUCCAAAUUUCGUUUAGAGACAUGUCUGUUAGCAGAAAAACUAUGAAGGUUUAUCAUUACAGAGAACAGAGAGAUAAAAGACAGCUGGACUGUACCUAUUUGUAUGCUUCUUUCCAUUACUUUCAGGAAAAUAAGUUUAACAGUAACUGAAACUGCACUAAACUCAGUAACAAUGUUUAAGAUAAAAACCUAUAUUACUACUGUAGAUGAACAGACUGAUUCCCCUUAUGUAACUAAGAUAUUCUAUUUACACAUAUUUAUAUCUUCUCUCUUAAUUUUUGAUGCACAUCCAAGCUUAAGUUGGAAAAACAGAAACCAAGCCACUACUUAAAAGCUAGAAAAGUUCACAUAAAACAUUUCAUUUUAGCUACAAGUUAUUCAUUGCAUAGGACUUUAUAAAUAGUCUGGGUAUUUCAUAGGAACUGCAUUUCAAGAGUAAAUUUACCAUAACUAAAAGAACAUAGGGAUACUUUUAAAAUGCAUUAAGAUAAGUUCCAUAUUCAGUUGAUGAUGCCGUUGAAGUAGGAUAAUGCAGUUACAUAAACAAGCUGAAGAGAAAAAAGAAUAUAUUUUGUGGUCCUUACUGUUUGCACUAUUGUUUACCACAGCUUAGCCAUAUCUAUUUGUAUAUUCUAAGUAUUAAGCUGAUAUGUAGCUAAGAUUUCUUACAGUUCUGGUAACUGGUAACUAGUGCUGUGAAAGAUUUUGGUAUUGUAACCGUCCCAGUUUUGUGAGUUAUAUAUUGUAUAUUGAAGAUGACUAAUAAAUUGGAGUAAUAUAUUUAUCUAGAGCUGGGGAAAUAUGAUAAUUAUUUUCAGAUCUUCAAGUAAGUUGUAUGGAAUUUGUUUCUUCCUCUCAAGUGAGAUAAAAGUCUCACUUUUAUGUUAAAAUGUCUAUUUAUACAACAGGUUUCUCCUUUUACUGGUUUUAUUAAUUUUCAUAUUAAAAUUUUUCUUAUCUUUUGAUACCAAAAUAAUUAUCAUGCUGGUUAUUCAAACUGCCAAGACGUAUUUUAGUUUGCAGGAAUUUUGGCAGACAAAAUAUUUAAUAACAAACCAGCUUUGUAUAUUUUAUGGCUUCGGGGGCAAGAAUUUUACCUUUGAAUCUCUAUGCGAGGCAGUGCUGAUAUUAACAAAGUCAAUGAUAAGACAGUAUUACUUGUGAUCAUCAGUAGAAGGUUUUCUCAAGUUGUAUAAAUCAGUGCAUUUAUUUAUUAUGUUGUGAAAUUUAAUCUUUAUACAAAAUGCAUAUUCUAGCUCUUUGUUACUGCUGUUGCUUAGAGUGUAAUAGGUCUGUUAAUGAUUUACUUAUGUACUUGAAGUACUCAUUUCUGUCAAACAGAUGCCCAAUUUUUUUCCUUGUUAAAAAAAUGGUAUCUUUUUUACCAUCAUCGAUAACUAAAUAGUAAUAGGGAUUUGUUAAAAAGUAACUUGCAUAUUUAAAAUAAAUAUGGAAAAAGGCAUAAAGCCAAAAUGAAAUUACCAAUAUUAAGAAUUUAAUGUAACCAAGGGAUUCACUGUGCUGUAUUUUCUCAAUAUAUAUUUUAUCUUCAAGUCAGAACAUCUUUUCUAUGAUAAACUUUGUUUUUCUUGUAAAAGAGAUCUCAGCGAUUGUAUGCCAUUAUAACACUCAACUGACCACUGAGAUUCUUGAACCCAAAAAAUUUCACCGACUUCUAGGGGCCAGCUGUAGAUUCCAGGGCGUGUAUUUUUAACGCAUGUUUGGCCUACUUUACAAAUAGUAACCUUGAUGGAUAACGCUUUAUUUGUUUCUGUCAAUUAAGUCAGUGGGAUUUUAAUCGAGUUUUGAGUUACUUUUGUUUAAAAAAGUAUUCUUUGUUCAACUCUUAAAAAAAUAGAAAUUUAGAACAUAAUGGCAUAACCUACCACAGAGAAUAGAAUUAUGUGUUUUUGAGGAAGGAAAAAAAAAUGUCCUGACAAUAUGAGGCAAUGUUGUACACCAAAGAACCCAAUUUAACAAGCCCUAAAUUCAACCAUUGUAUUGUUUUACAGUGUGAACAAUAGGUGAAUUGUGAACUGUUUAAGAACUAUAGUAGGAGAUUAAGAAUUAAUUUACUAUAACUUUAAAGAGUUUUGUGUUAAUUUUACUGUUGCACAAGCAAUUAUUAAAGGCAAGAAAUAUAUAUGAUAAACAUUAUAUUGAAAUAUGGAAACAUUAUAAAGAAAAGGGAGCUCGAGCUGGUAAUUUGGCAAAGAUUUAGAAAUGAAUAGUAUGAACAUAGAUAUCUUCCACCUUAUCUUAUAGAAACGCAGUACAUGUGUGAGAUGUAUGGUAGGCACAAUACCACAAAAAUCAAAAAAGUCACACUGGUCAAGUCUGAGACUGGAUCCAUGUGGUAUCAAAAUAGCCAAUGAAUUCAGGGAGCUCAUUCUACGGUUGCAGUUUAGAAGUCAGUGAAGCAGGUAGUUUGGAUGACCUCAUCGUUUGUGUUUAUCACAUGACGCAAAUGUCUAUGCUUUGUCAACUUCGUGACUGACAGAGGAAGAUCGAGUCAGGAUUUAGCUAGUUCCUGUAGAAGAAUAUUUGUAAAUGUGGAUCAGACGGUACCAUGCAGACUAAAGAGAUUCUCAUGAACUUGCUAAGCCUUGAGAUUUGUUAGCAGCGAUAGAGUUUCCUUUCAUUGAAAGAUUGUCAAAAUUUACAAUAUUGUAAAUAGCUGAAUUACAUGACUCUGGAGUUGGAAAUAUGGUUUAGAUUUAUUUGGUUCUGUAACUCACUCUGGCACUGGCUCAUUGUGUCUUUUCUACAAACUGUGCAUGUGUUGGUGUUUCAACUGUCCCAAUGAGAAAGGACACACAAUAUUAUCAAUUCUAAGUACUUGGUAAUUUUUCUUUUACAGCAGAAAUUAUGUAAGUGUGAAUCAUACUUAAAUUUACCAAUUCUUUCCCACUGUCAUUUGAUAGACAAAGAAAGACUUCCCAAAAUUAUAGUACGAAAACUGAAAGUCCAAACUAAUAUCCCUGAUGUUCAGUUUGAAAGGAGAGUGAGGUUACAUUAAUACUCUCUGCACCAGAGUAGGUUAUGGGAAUUUUCAUCUGUGUACUACAGGUUCAUAUUAUUCAUUCGCUCCCACUUCUAAAAUCUUCAGAAAUUUAGAGUAAUUUUGUUUUUUCUACACUCACCCCAAACAACCAUUUUAUGGUAGCAUAUAGAUACAUUUUUUUUUUUUAAAUUCAGAUCUUCAUGUCUUUUCUUAGAUAAACUCCCCAAGGAGGAAAAUGUCUCCUUAAAUCAGUGGUUACAAAAAUGAAAUAUGGGACUUUCUUAACUUGUUUUAUCCUGUGAUGUCACUUACUCUCUCUACCAAGUGAAUACUGAAUGUUUCCCCUGCUGUUUGAUCUGAAGCUGGAUCUCCAGCUUACAUUCUCUGGCUGUGGAAUGGUGCUCCCUCAUGCAAAGUACCUUCGCAACUUUCUGUAAAGAAACUAGAGGUUGUUUUCAUUGUUAUCACAAUGGAAAUCUGAGUACAGUUAAAGGGGAAAAAUUAGAAUAGCCUUGUUAAAAUCAUUAAAUAUAGGUGACGGUAAGUGAAUAUUGACUUUUAUUUUUACCUGACAUUUGAAUUCAGUCACUGACUGAUACUUAAAAAUUUUAUUCCUAAACCUGGUAUUUAUUAUGGCAUACUAUGAUAACUUGGAGCUCCUGUUACAUCCCCUCCCCCUAAAAAUGUUGAAAUGAUGAGAGAGUGUAAGCUGCAUGAUAGAGGGAAAAGCCCGAAUCAGAACUCGUCUGCGUGGGAUUUUGAUGUGUCUUAACGAUACAACCUAGUUUUCAAGAAGACAGGUCUCUAAAUGGUGAUUCCAGAAUGAUUUGGUACAGGGCCAGGAAGAAAUUAUUUUUCUGGGUAUUUACUUCUCAUGAUGACCUGGCAUACAGAUGACCCUAAUAUAAUUCAAGUAAUUAUAACUUUGAUUGGAACCUACGGGGUUUACAAAUCUCAGUUGGGUAUCAGCUUUAGUACACGUGAUGAGGAGGAUGGAAGAAUUUUAAACUUGAGCAGCUCUUUUGUUUCCUCACCUCCUUUUACUUGGAAAAGCUAUCAGAAAGCUUUUGAGAGAUGACACAGUUUUCAUGGCACAUGACGUGAUUAUGUGCCUCUGCCAAACUCAUAAACUAAGAUAUGGAACAAAACCAUUGCUUAACCCCAGUCUUGGUUUUGGAUUGUAUAAGCAAAAGCAUUUUUUUAUAUUAAAGUUUUCUCAGUGUUUAUGCAGUUGCAUACUUCAUUUUUUGUCCAUCUCAAAAGUUGAAUUGGCAUUUUAUGUUCUAUUUGUAAUUGUAAGUAAACCGAUAGUCCCCUUGCCUUAGUCAGCCCUCUCUCGGUACAGACCUUUGUGAUCUUUCUCUCCCGUGCUUUCGCCACAGUUUUUCCACAACCAGUUUUCCUGCAUACAUUCUCUCCUACCUCUAGUUCAUCUUCCACGAGGUCGGCGGAGUGGUCUUUCUAAAACACACGUUUGCGUUGUCUAUCCUUUGCUAAAAAUUUUUACAUAAGUUCUCCUUUUUGUGGAGCAGCCUAACUCCUUAGUGUGACAGAUGAGGGGCUCCCUGGCGUGGCCUCGUCCCACGCUCUUUAGCAUGCUCAGCUGCCAUUUCCUCUAGAGACCUUUUGUAAUUCAGGAUUUGGAGCUACUCCCAAUUCAUUGCCUUGGCAUAAUCACUUGCCAGAGAUCUACGCUUUCAAAAUUCAGUUCAGAUUUAACUUUCUGUGAAGCUCUACCUGACUUUCCCAGCCAGAGUUUAGUAUUUCGUCCAUGCUCCAUAGCAUCUUGAAACUUUCUCUGUUAAAAUAACAUCACAUUUCAAUAAUAUAUGUAUGCCUGCCUUUCCCCCCCGCCCUCUGAAUUUCUCUAUCUUUGUAGUCUCAGUGUGGGGUUAGCAUAUAAUAGGACUUCAAUAAAUGUUUUUGAAGGAUUGAAGGUAAUAGACCACCCGAACUUCUUUAUAUUUUUAUACUUUCACAAAUGCAAGCUUAGACUCCCGUGAGUCACACGAGGGGUGUGUAUAUUCAUGAACAGGUAAGCACGCAUGCACUCUGGGCAAGCCACCAGAGGGUGAACAUCAAGGGAGAGAGAUUGUUUGGAAAAGGGGAGUCAUUUGUUGGCUUUAAAUCAGAAAUAUUUACCAAAUCUGAAUUCUUGUUUCUUAAAAAUGAGGCUUACAAAAUUUUCACCUGUCGAAUUCUUGUUUAUAAUUCACAAAUAUGCCCUAAAGAUUACCUUUCUCCUUUGAAGACACAUUCACUGUAUACAAUUAUUGAAAACACAUACAUUGAUCACCUACACAAAAUAAGAUUUAAGAAAGAAUCAAAACCAAUAGUGAAGGUGAAAUUUUCUCAAAAGUAAUAGCCAGAGAUAUAGACUGAAUUUGUGUGAUUUCAGGUCAUUUGUAGCUAAUGAGUAUCUCAUUUUUUUUAUGAUGCAAAUGUAGGACAGCUUUUCUGUACUGUUACCACCCCUUACAGAACAUAGAGACUAAAAUCUAAUACCUAACAGUUUGUUUUUCUUUUAUGAUUCUAUAAAACCUUCCUACCAUGUUCCCAAAUCAUGAUAAAGGUCAACACAAAAAAUUCUUCGUAAUUAAUAAUUUCUAAAAUUAAAUAGUAAUAAAAAAUGCAUGUCAUUAAAUUAAAUGCCCUCUUUAUUUUCUCACUUGAGAGACCUUUUUCUACCUGCUUUAUACUUGACACUUAAUUCGAUGCUGGGAAUACAAUAAAAUAGUUUGUCUUCGGAAUUAUUUUCUACAGCCUAAGAAAUUAGGUGGACAGGUUUUAAACCAAAUAUUUCUCAGGUGAUUUCAGAGUAGUCUUGUUCCACCCCCAAAGUUAAUCAAAUUCUAGGACAUAAAGAAUUAUUCCCAUUUUUAUGUCCAGUUUUUAUACAACCACAAAUAAUGUUUGACCAUCACUUGCCAAGGACAUCUUUCAUCAAUCUAUAGAACCCAUUUCCACAACCAUAUGUGGUAUGUGUGGUCCAAGAGAUGAAUAGAUUUGUCAAACAAGGGUUAAAUUUCAAGUCCAUUUUAGGAAGGCAUAUAUCCCUAUUAAUGUCACAUACACCAAAAUAUAUGAAGUAUGCAUUGUAAACCCACAGCAGAGGGAAAAAAUUAUAAAGUUAUGCUUUCUGGUAUACUUCAGAGACUCCGUUUGAAGUUAUGGGUUGGUAUUUCCUCCUCGAUUAUUUUUAAUGGGGAGUAAGGAGUAAUAAUAUUUAACGGGUAGCAUACUUAUCUGAGCACAUAGCAAAUAUACUACUAGUAUUUGUAUGCCACGGUGCACUGAUAUAGAUGAAAGAAAACAAAAACAUUUGAGUUAUAAAAAAAUUAACUGCUCUGAAUAUUUAUUGAUGGUUAGGCAAUAGGGUUCCUUUAUGGGAAGGAAAAAAUUAUCUUUAUUGUCAGUAAUUAUGGAAAAAAACCUUACUUAUAUGUAUAUUUACAUUUUGAUAGGGGUAUUUUGAAGUCAUUCUUGCCCAUCAAUAUAAAGUAUCAACCAUUUAUUUGUUCUCUAGCAAAAGGAAAUUCUUAUUUUGAUACAACUUUACUCUUUGUUCGAUAUUGUAAAAGGUCCACAAAAGAAAGAGGCUCAGAAGGCCAGGCACUUAUCUCACCUUUCAAUGAAGAUAAUCAAUAAUUUUGCCUCCCUACUUAACCAUCAUGUUGAAAACCUCACAUUAUAGCUCCUUUUGUCCCUUACAUUUCAAGAUAGUUUUAACCUAGCCUUUUGCCAUAUUAUUUAUAGUUAAGAAUUUACUACAUUUUGGUAGUCUGUUUUGAAACUUUUACUUGUAUCGGAAAGAUGCAGAUCAUGUCUAUUUAUUACACAAUGGGCUCUGUUUGCUGCAGAAAAGAGUGAAACUUUUAACUGCUUAGCACACUUGCCAGUGAAAUAUACCUGACAGAGCAGAGGUUAUAACUUUGGCUCUAAUUACUUUUAAUAAUGGUAAGAAAAUGUGUUUUGUUUGUUUACAUGCUGUUUACAAUGGCAUAAUUUUUUAAAUAUAUACAACUGAGAUAUUUAUUGCAUACUAUUUUAAAGAUGUUUUAUGUGUUUUCACCUUUGGAAUAUAUUGUUACAGUUACUUAUACAGAUAAUUUGGGUGGCUUUGUUAAUGUAGCUAGUAAUUUUUAUGACUACUAAGUGACCAGUUUUCCGUGCCUUUUAUUGUGGGAUGCAUGAUUAUGUAUUUAUUGUACGGAAGUCACUGAGUGUGUAUUUUUGUACUUUGCUGAGAGUAAUGGUUGAUCUCAAUUUACAUGAUGAUGAGAGAUGCCUUUCCCAAAGGGCACUGCCUUGAGAUCGUCCUUCUCAAAUAAAAAGAAUGCGUUUGGAAAA